rnacentral:rRNA from 1 species
AGCUCCAAUAGCGUAUAUUAAAGUUGUUGCAGUUCAAAAGCUCGUAGUUGGAUUUGUGGUGUGUCCAGUCGGCCUUUGAUCUUUGAGUGAUAGUGUUGUUACUAGUCUGUCAUGUUUGGGUGGAAUUUAUGUGGCAUUAAGUUGUCGUGCAGGGGAUGCCCAUCGUUUACUGUGAAAAAAUUAGAGUGUUCAAAGCAAGCUUAUGCCUUGAAUAUAUUAGCAUGGAAUAAUAGUAUAGGACCUUAGUACUAUUUUGUUGGUUUGCGCACUGAGGUAAUGAUUAUGAGGGACAGUUGGGGGUAUUUGUAUUCCAUUGUCAGAGGUGAAAUUCUUGGAUUUUUGGAAGACAAAUUACUGCGAAAUCAUUAACCAAGGAUGUUUUCA